GAUAUCUUCCUUGCUGUCUAGAAAUAUUAACAAAAUAAAAUUUCCGUUUACAAUUUAUCGAAAUCGGAUCAAUAAUAAGAAUAAAAAAACGAUUGCGUUAGUUUUAUGAACUUUAUUCCUCUUUCACAUCCACACAAUUCGUUAGUAACCAGGGUUCCUCACACUCCAUUCCUAACUCCGGGGUGGGCGCGACUCUCACGCGGCCAUCCCGGGACACCUGUACCGGUACGCGCCCAGGACGUCGUUAUCGGAAAUCUGGAUGACCGGUAGGUCCCCGGAGGAGACGUCCUCCUCCUCUUCUCACGGUUCUUCCUCGGCGGCGGUGGGUUUCUGUCCGUCGAGGCCGUCUCCGCUGUCGCUGGUGUCCCCUCGUAGUUAGGUCGAGGUGACGUCGCAAACACCAUAAUCAGUGGCGUCUGCCUGCAGUAGAAAUGUCUCCUCGAAGUCGGGACAUUCGCGAAUCGGUGCUACGCGAUGCCCACAGUACUGUCCUAAGAAUAAAAACGAUAGUUCAAUUAAGUUACGCAGCAACUGUGGCAAAAAACACACAGCCAACUGGCGAGGAUGCAUUGUUUACAAGGAACUCAAGAGUCGCCUAAACAAACGAGUGGACUCAGCUCGAGAUCGUAUCACACCAAAAACUCACAAAGUAAUGGAACCAACUACAACUAACAUCCCUUCGUCUGCCAGCCACCGAACAAUCCAAAUUCUUCCUUUGCAAGUGUACUAAAAUCAGUGAUCCAAGUACCUACAGAAGUCACCUCCAGCACCCAGCAUAAAAUUCAUCAAAUAAACACAAGUAAACAAAUAAACACACAGAACAUGCAACAGCAGCCUAUUGGCGUUGAAGCGAUUAUGCUCUCGAUGCAGCAAAGCAUGAAAGACUUCAUGACCUUCAUGCAAGGAACUAUGCAAGAGCUUAUGAGGAACCAAAACAUCCUUAUUCAAAUGCUCGUUUCUUCUAAAACAGGAUAAUGACUCCCUUAAUAAUAGCAACCUGGAACGCUAAUGACGUUUCGCGGCACAAGCUAGAACUUGCUCAGUUCUUAGCCGACAGAAACAUUGACGUUAUGCUACUCUCAGAGACUCACCUUACCGAAAAGUACAACUUCCAAUUACCAGGAUAGCGACAAGUCAACCGCUACCACCUUCGCAACUAGGCGCGGCACUUGCCCACCAGUCAGUUUCAACGGGUUCCCAA